rnacentral:lncRNA from 1 species
UUUUUUUUUUCUUUUCUUUCCUUUCUUUUUGUUUUUGUUGUUUUGUUUUGUUUUGUUUUUACACAAAGACGUCUCCGCCUACCCAGCUGGUUUUGAUGUUAUUUCCUCAAAACCACAGCCUUGCAAUUCCAGGAGCUGCCAGCAGGUAGCACUGCUGUUAGCUUGGGUAACAAAUCUACCAAGUUCUCAGGCAACCACACGUGCUCUAUUUCCCCACAAAAACAUAACCACAGUUAAGUGCCAACACGGGCUGAAUACAGAAACUGAAUAAAUCCACAUAAUAUAGUGCAACAUUUUAAAGGAAUGCAAAUACCAUACACUGGGGACACACUGCUAACAUACAAUCACCUCUGCCUAAUUUAACUUCUACUCAAUCUUUCAGAAACAAGUGACUUCAGAGCUAGGACUAAAAGCAUCCAGUCCUCGAGCCCUGUUUUAACCAAUAAGGACACAGAGCUGGUUUCUAGAGUUUGUUACUUGCCAGGUGGUGCCCACUGAUAGCUCUAGCUGUCAGCACUUCAGGGAACAGAGCUCUUUCCCUGGUGAGCUCUUCUCACUUAAGGUCUGAACCUGUCUGCCUCGAAAGCACAUCCCCAGCCACCUGAGCCUCUUGCAAUAAAUAGCCCCACAGAGGUGGGCAUGACCUGGAUCCUAGAGCCCAGGAUUACACACACUUGGCUUUGUCCUGAGAAUCACUUGGUCCUACGCAGAAACACAGGUCCUACACUAGGAGAACCCUUUAUAGUAGGGCGGAACAGAACUGAGAAUCUAUUUGAGUAGACACCAGGCAAGGUGGUUCUUUAGCUGCAAUUCCAUUCCAAACUCUUCCAAAAUGGGAUCCCCAUGAGAAUCAAGUGGGCGUCAUUCCAGACUGGAUCAUUUUAGAUGUCUACUGGGGUGGGAAUGUAUGUUUUAACAACGUCAUGAACGAUUCUUUUGCAUGUUAAUGUUGAGAACCCUUGGACUCCAUAUGAAAACAACUUAGAGCACGAUGCUAUUCCCUGUCUUAUGGGAGCAUCAUUUUUAACAAGGGUGAGGGGUUUGCUGAAUAAAUACAAACGUAUCAGCAUUAUUGCAAGCACUCCACCAGACGCUGGGGGCAUCUUGCUUGUUAGCAUUCAUCUCUGCCUCAUCUGGUUCUCACAAACCUGUGUGAAAGGGAUUGUCACCGCCAUUUUAUCACUUAUUUUGGAAAACAGACUUGGAGAAGCUAAGGAGCUGCCCAAAGCCAUGGGGCUGGAGAGUUGGAAGAGCCAGGAUUCAAACUCAAGUUUGUUCCAUGCAAAGCCCUUUCUUCAUUUAGACAGGCAAGGGGCAAUUUCAUCAAGGCCUGGAUUUUCCUUCAUCCAUGAAAUUCUUUUAGGCUUCCUCUCUCAGGAGCAUAGCAAGAGACCCCAAAGAGUGAGAGGUGCAGGAAGGCUGGGAGCUUGCAUUUCCCCCACGGUCUUCUCCUGCCCUCAGAUGCAGUUUCCUGGGAGUAUGAGCCACAGAGGGAGAAGAAACCCCCUGCCCCCCUCCCCCAGCCUCUCCCUCCACAGUCCUUAUCCCAAAUGGCUAAUAUGAAUGGACAGAAUUUAUAGGAUUCAACUCUGCAUUGUUUGACCCCAACCUGCUUCCAGCUUCAACUCCCAAGUCAAAAGGCAGGAAGUCAGAACAGGGAGGAGAGAGAGACUGAGAUAAUCAGCCCUUGAUUAACACUGAGCCACGAACGCACCAGCCUUUCUAACGCUGCACUGAGGGCUGAGGGCUGUCGGGAGGAAUGCAGAUGAGACAGUGGUUAUGAGUGCACCACCUGCACCGUAAAGCACCAUACAGACAGGAGUUAUCGUUCACAUUAAAGACAAAUAAACAGAGAAACACAGCUUUUUCCAGCCAAUUCUCCUCCAAGACUCACCUUCUGCAGCUGAAGAAGGGCAAGCUCUUACAAAAACUGGAUACCAGCUCAGUAAGAGGACUUCAGGUGGCACUUAGUGCCAGGCUCUGUGCUAGGCACUCUAAUAAAAGCAAAAACGUGCAAGGCAGGGCCCUGUGUUCAAAAAGCUGAUGAUCUGGAAGAAAGGGGAAAAGAGAAAUACCCCAACGCCGCAUGACAUGUGCCUAAUGGGACAGUCUAUAGGACUGGAGAGUCAAAAGCAGUAUACAGACCUUCUGCUGGGCCCCAGCACGUGACACCUCCUACUGGCUGCUCUCCUGGCUCUUCCCUCCCCACAUUCAGAUCCUUCCAGUUCUGCCUCCCAACCUGUCGCAAAGGCUUCCACUCAUACCCACCAUGUUGCCCAACCUCAGUGCCAGCGUGUCAACUGUUGCCUAGAUAGCACUCCGCUCUACCUUGCACCAAUCCAUCCCCCACACUGUAUGAAAGUGAUUUUGCAAGAAUCCACCAUGUUUCUAAAUCAAAUCCUAUUUAAAUAUCUUGAUGGCUCCUUGUAAAUCUCUCAGGAAAGGUCAAAGUUCUUGUUUGUGGGCCCUCCUUCAGUUGACAGCUGAUCUCUGGGCCUCCCAGAGAGCUCUGAGCUCCAGCCACAAAGGCUGUGCUUCCUCCAGCAGGCUAUAAUCACCUCCCUCAGGGGUUAAGCACAUGUGGCUAUCUAGAUCCUGAAAAUGCAGGCACUCACCCCUCUCUACAUGCUGUGUGCUCUGCUUCUUUAUCUUUCUGAGUUCAGCUGAAACCAGCAAUUCCUUCCCCAGAGCACCUCUCAUUCUAGCAGCGGCAUGACCUGCUCCACCCCCUUAGAAUGUCCUCUAAGUAAGCAUUUUCACACCCUAUUGAAAUUACUUGUUGCACUGAUAUUUCUUGACAGGAAUAGGCAUUACCUGGUGAUCUUGUUAAAACCGACUCAGUCUGGAGUGGGGCCCAUGGUGCCAUCUUUCUAACUGGCUCCCAACUGACACUGAUGCUGCCAGGCUGUGGACCAUGAUGGGUCCACACUGGGCCAUGCUCAUUGUGGUCACCAUAUAUCACUGGUACCAAGCCCAAACCUAGCCUAUGUGGGUGUUCAAUAAACUUCUACAGAAUGAAUAAAUGAGGAGGGUAGAAGGGAUGAAGGUAGACACUCAGGAAUUCAGGGUUCAGAUAAUAGUUCUAUUAGGGUCUCAGGAGAUACAUAAAAUUAACACUGUCCGCUACAGUGUUUGACCUUCCUGAUAAACGGGUAAGUGUCUAUUCAUAAGGCUGGUAUUUGUCUGAAUUCAAUCCACAGAGCAAGUGCAAGACCAAAAUAGAACAUCUGAACUUGGGUGAUUUUGUGCCCUUUACCAAAGCUAAACAAAUUGCCACUUGCUGCAAUCUCAGACAGGGGGCCGUAGCGCCCGUGCUUAACUGUGAAUUAUUAAUGUGAAAGAUUUGCAUGUGCUUUUUAUGAUUAUGGCCGACUUUGAUGUCUUUGUGCCCUGCUUAGGGCUUCCACACACAACCAUAAUUUCUUUACCAAGGGAAAAAAAAAAGAAAGAAAGAAACAAUUUGCAUAGGCCAAGUAUAGGAAAUGUGUUGAAGUGGUUUCAAUAUAAAAUGAAAUUGCAACAAUUAUAUUGCUCCUCUGUUGCCAAGGGUAAUGUGGAUGCUCUGAAAGGAUGGAGCACGGGGACUUGUUUAAAUCACCGUCAUGAGAAAAGUAGCACAACAUCUCUUUGGAAGCCUGACUCUUAAUUCUGCAGACCAGUGAUUUCAGUAUCACUGAAUGGGAAAAAUGGAGGCAAAGUAUUUGCAACAACUUCAAUAACCGGCUGCAAAUCAAUUCAAUGCUCUAAAACAGCCUUCUUCGUCCUAAGCCUUCCAAAGAGCUCGGUCCAACUCGCAAGAUUCCUUACAAAGAUCAUAUUGUACGAGUCAACACACUGAUGCGAGCUGUGUACCAUGAAGAAGAAACCGGUGAAAAGAGAACUUUUAGGUAACUCUCCCAAGUCAAAAAUCAAUAUUUCACUGAAGAAUAGGGAGGCAGGCAGGCUGCUGAGAUCUGAUUUACAUACAUGUGGCUCUCAAUAUAGGCCUGCCCCUUGGCUCAAAGAAGACAUCAAUAGUUUCUCUCAGGAAACCUGCAGUACACAGGGACAGGACAGAGAUAAAAGAUGUUCAGGGGUUUGUAUCUCUUUUUAAUUUCAAUUCUGCACAUUCUCGGGGUUAUCUACACAAUCGCUGAACCUCUCUUUAGAGAGUCUAUAGUAUUGAGUGCCUGAUUCUAGCUGGCCCAGUUUUGGGAGCCAAGAACUCAGGCUUCUGGCUUGCGCAAGUGGAGAGAUGGGGGAGCCAUUUACGGGGACCAGGACUCUAGGAGGAAGAGCAAGUUGGUGGAGAGGACAGUGUCAGGGAGUGUGUUAGCAUCCUAGGGCUGCUGUAGCCCACUACCCCAAACCACAGAAACAGAUCGCCUCAUGGUUCUGAAGCUAGAAAUCCCAGAUGAAGGUAUAGACAGUGUCGCGUCCUUCCCACGGCUGUGAGGCAAAAUCUGCUCCUGGCCUCUCUCCUAGCCUCCUGUGAUUUGCCCACAAUCUUGGCAUUCCUUGGCUUGGAGACAGAUGGCCCCAAUCCCACCCUCAUCGGGAAAUUUUCAUGAUAUUCUCCCUGUGUCCUCAUAGAAUACCCCCUCUCUGCAUGUCCAUUUCUCUGGCCAAAUUUACCCUUUUCCUAAGGAUGCCGGUCAUAUUGGAUUAAGGGCCCACCUCAAGGAUCUCAGUUUAACUUACUUAACUUAAUUACCUCUAAAAAGAUCCUAUUUGCAAAUAAGCUUCCGUUCCUCAGUAGAAGUAGUUAGGACUUCAACACAUCUUUUGGGAGGGACAUGAUGCAUCCUCUCACAGGGAAGUAAGGGAAGAUGUCAAAUUCAGGUCUCAGCAUGAUGAGAGGGAGCUAGCUGUGCGUGCAGGGAUCCUGAGAUCAGAAGACAAAUUUGCACAAGAGAUCCAGAGUUGCGAGAUGUAUGCUUCUACGUCUGUAACACAUUUAUCUGCUAAAACAGGAAGAGAUAUUUGAAGGCCCAGCUUCUGGGUGAGGAGGGCAUAGCUGAAGCCACAGAUAUGAAUGAGAGUGCCCCAAGAGAAGGUCUAGUGCUUUGUAGAGAAGGGGUACUGAAAAAAGAACCUCAGAACAUCAGUACUGCAGAGGCAGAAAAGAGAAAGGGGGGGCUCAUAGAGCAAUCCCAUGAGGGCUGCCAAACAGGUGGGAGAAGACUGAGGAGGGCAACAUUGCUGAUGCAAGGGAAGCAGUCGGAAGGGAUGGGUCACUGCUUCUAUGAAGGGACCCCAGUAUCUGUCACUCCAUUACAAACUACUCCAAAUUUAGUAGCUUAAAACACCUGCCAAAAAAAAAAAAAAAACACCUGCCGUUUGUCAUCUCUCACAGUUCCGUGGGUCAGGAAUACAGGAGGGGCUUAGCCAAGCAAUGCUCCUAUACCACAUGGCAUCAACCACGGUCACCUGGUGGCAUUCAUCUGGGGGAUGGAUGGUGCAGAGGGAUUCCAAUACUGCUUCCUUCCCAUGUCUGGCACCUGGAGGGUGGGGCAGGGGAGAUGACCAGACACAGCUACAGUUGUCAGACAGGGCGCCCACUCAGGCACGUGGUGUCAGAGGCAGAGCAGCAGGGCAGGCUUUCUCUGACUCAUAUUCUUUUAUCCUCCUGGUCUCAGCAGAAGCAACUUCAGCUGCAAAAUGAUAAUGUAGGACUUUUUGCACACAAAGCAGGCCCAAGUGUCACCAGAUAUAGAAAAGGAAGUGUUCUUACCACAAUAAUAACAACAGCAACAAAAUUUAAUGAAAUAAUCCAAGUAAAACUCUCAGCCCAGAGUCUGGCAAGUGCUAAUCAUCCAUCGUAUGGGAGCUAUGACUUAAUCAGUUCUACAAGGCUUAUUAUGAAGAGCAAUAUAAACAUCCAUUUCCCUCUUCCCAGAGGUGCGUUGGCAGCUAUUUUUAUAAACUAGCAUUCUUACGUCAGGAAUGGGUCACGCAUAAAGAGAGUAAGUCUGAUUAAAUUCAAAAAUGAUAAAGUUUUAAAAGUGGUUAAGACUUGGAGCACCUGGGGGGCUCAGUCAGUUAAGCGUCUGCCUUUGGCUCAGGUCAUGAUCCCAAGGUCCUGGGAUCAAGCCUCACAUUGGGUUCCUGCUCAAGCGGCCAGUCUGCUUCUCCCUCUCCCUCUGUCCCCCACCCUAACCCCCCAUUUAUGCCCUCUCUCUCAAAUAAAUAAAUAAAAUCUUAAAAAAAAAGAGUGGUUAAGAUUUGAUAGAUAACCCUUAAAGAAAAUCUGCAAUUCCAAGUUAACAAGAGGAUGGUAUACUCCCUGAAAAUGAAAAUGGUUUUACUGAGAAAUAACAGAGCUACUGGUGUAUUGGACAUAGACAUUUAAGUUACUUGGGCAUGACUGUUAUUCAUAGCAUCCAUGUUACUUAAACAUAUUGGUUUAAAAUGUUAUUCAAACAACUCACUUGCAUGUUUCAUCUUUAAAUAUAGUUGACCCUAUUUUACAUUGUUAAAUGUCAAAUAUUUUUAAAAAUCAGGAGUAAAAAUACAUAAAACUUGGCAUCCAAGUGGGCAUGAAAGUACCGCUGCCCCAGAACUGUUAAGUGUGA